ACGUAACAGAAACAAGGCGCAGGCAGCAACUUGCAUCCCCUGGCAGUUGACAUGGUAAUUUCUUCGCCUCCACUCUUUGGUUCUCUCCACCCCGCUUCAGGCCCCCUCCCCCCAAGACACACGGCACCCUCGGUGCCAGGGAAGGUGCCUUGCGGAGAAAGAAAAGACGCCAGAAGAACGGGGGAAGAGCGCUUGGUGCCCACACUGUUGGCCUCGGGGUAAGUGCGGACGACCGCCGCGGACCCCCUGGAGUGGGGAGUGGGUUAGGGGCCUGGGGGUCGGGGCGGAUCCGGAUGCCGCUCCCUGCCCUCCCCCCAGCCCGAGAUCUGCGGCACGAGGCGCGGGCUCUGAAGCCCCCAGCUGGGCCCCAGCAGCAAUAGGUGGGCGGAGCGCAGCGCAACGCGGGGCGGCGGGAAAGGGGUGGGGUGCGCAGUUUGGCUUCUAUAGGACCCAGGAACAGUGGCAGAACCUGCGAGCUAGGUGGGUGACUCUCCCGCGUGGAGCAACCGACCCGAGGACCACCACUCCAGUGGAGCGUGGAGGACCUUGGAGUCAGGCGCUCUGUCCAUCGCCGCCUUCAGCAGAGCAAGACGGUGGAGCCGCGGGCGCACCGGCGACCCUGCGCGCAGGUCGCGCCUCCUAAACAACUCACACCCAGCGACCAUCAGGACGCCUCCUGCUCCCGGCCCGCGGGACCGAGGGGACCGUGGGAGGACAGGCUGGUGGCAGGACCGGCCCGGCGUGUGCGGGAAGGCUGGAGUUGGUCGAGUUAUUGUGUGCUGGCGCUGGUGCGUGCUCCCGGGGCUCCCUCGCGCUUUCAGGGCCAGGGUGGACGUUUGUGGGUGCAGAGUGGGUGUGCUGAACUUAUCUCCUGGGGCCGGCCGUGCACAGACUCGAGCCUCUCGUGCGCGUGUGGACGAACGUUUAAUGGAAUCACGUGGGAGUGAGUAGUCGUGGUCAUUCCCGGGUCCCCAGGAGACCCUCUUGGGAUGAUAGCCCAGCGCGUGUUCGGGUUUGGGAGGCAAGGGAGAGUUGUGUGUAAAUCUCCGUCAGAAGGAGAGUUUCUAAAGGAGAUUUGAUUUUCUUGGAUUUCCUGCAGUUCCAUAAACCAAAACUGGCUUUCGGGGCAUUAAAGAAAAUUACGGGUAAGGCGGAUCUCUAGUUGGGCAAAAAAGCCUCGGGAUUUGCUGGGUAGCGGGGUCGGGCUGGCGCGCUCGCUCGGUGGCUUCUGGCGCUGCCUCACCUAGUGGUGGGGCGAGGGGUGGUGCUUGUGUUUUUAGUUAAAGGUGCUGGAGCUGGAGCACUUGUGCUGGAUACGUUGUGGGAUUCGAAGAGGUAAAAAGCUGCGUGGCGCGGUCUGUUCUUUUCAGUUAACUCCAGAAUUUCAGUAUUUGUCGUUUGUUUUUUUUUUCUCUCCGAUACAUUCACUCCUUUCAUCUCCUGGAUGCUUGGACUCGCUGUUAGUUGGUCAUGUAUUUUUGUUCCUCUGGUCCUUUACUGAUUUAGUUUUUUUUUUUUUUUUUUUCCUCUCUUUUCUUCCUUUAUUUUUUCAAAGGGCUGAAGAUCUGAAAUGCAUGGGGUAAAACGGACCUUUCAGCAUUCAUCGCGUUCAAAUCAGGCAUAAGAUGAAAAUAUCCCCAUCAAAGUGUUUAGAUUGGACAAAGCUCUGUUUCAGGUUAGAAUUAUUUAAAAUAGGUGUCUUAGACCUUGUGUAAAGUAACCUUAAUGUGGAUCUCAACUCGCUCUUCUCAUUUUGAUAUUUUAUUCAAUUCUUAAUUACCUAAUUAACAAAAUGGGCCGAUUAGCUUCUGAUUUUAAACGACAGGUCUUGAAAUGGCUAUUAAGUUGGUCUGUGACUCCAUCUCUU
rnacentral:lncRNA from 1 species